rnacentral:rRNA from 1 species
UAGCGUAGGGUGCAAGCGUUAAUCGGAAUUACUGGGCGUAAAGCGUGCGCAGGCGGUUUUGUAAGUCUGUCGUGAAAGCCCCGGGCUCAACCUGGGAAUUGCGAUGGAGACUGCAAGGCUUGAAUCUGGCAGAGGGGGGUAGAAUUCCACGUGUAGCAGUGAAAUGCGUAGAGAUGUGGAGGAACACCGAUGGCGAAGGCAGCCCCCUGGGUCAAGAUUGACGCUCAUGCACGAAAGCGUGGGGAGCAAACAGGAUUAGAUAC